UACGUAGGGGGCAAGGCGUUGUCCGGAAUCAUUGGGCGUAAAGAGCGUGUAGGCGGCCCGGUAAGUCCGCUGUGAAAGUCCAGGGCUCAACCCUGGGAUGCCGGUGGAUACUGUCGGGCUCGAGUCCGGAAGAGGAGUGUGGAAUUCCUGGUGUAGCGGUGAAAUGCGCAGAUAUCAGGAGGAACACCAAUGGCGAAGGCAGCACUCUGGGACGUGACUGACGCUGAGACGCGAAAGCGUGGGGAGCAAACAGG
rnacentral:rRNA from 1 species